GAUGAACGCUGGCGGCGUGCCUAAUACAUGCAAGUCGAGCGAACGGACGAGAAGCUUGCUUCUCUGAUGUUAGCGGCGGACGGGUGAGUAACACGUGGAUAACCUACCUAUAAGACUGGGAUAACUUCGGGAAACCGGAGCUAAUACCGGAUAAUAUUUUGAACCGCAUGGUUCAAAAGUGAAAGACGGUCUUGCUGUCACUUAUAGAUGGAUCCGCGCUGCAUUAGCUAGUUGGUAAGGUAACGGCUUACAAGGCAACGAUGCAUAGCCGACCUGAGAGGGUGAUCGGCCACACUGGAACUGAGACACGGUCCAGACUCCUACGGGAGGCAGCAGUAGGGAAUCUUCCGCAAAGGGCGAAAGCCUGACGGAGCAACGCCGCGUGAGUGAUGAAGGUCUUCGGAUCGUAAAACUCUGUUAUUAGGGAAGAACAUAUGUGUAAGUAACUGUGCACAUCUUGACGGUACCUAAUCAGAAAGCCACGGCUAACUACGUG
rnacentral:rRNA from 1 species